UGCGCAGGCGGACUUUUAAGUCAGUGGUGAAAUCCCGAGGCUCAACCUCGGAACUGCCAUUGAUACUGGAAGUCUUGAAUUUGGUUGAAGUGGGCGGAAUGUAGCAUGUAGCGGUGAAAUGCUUAGAUAUGCUACAGAACACCGAUCGCGAAGGCAGCUCACUAAGCCAAUAUUGACGCUCAGGCACGAAAGCGUGGGGAGCAAACAGGAUUAGAUACCUUGGUAGUCC
rnacentral:rRNA from 1 species